GAUGAAGAACGUAGCGAAAUGCGAUAAGUAAUGCGAAUUGCAGAAUUUCCGUGAGUCAUCGAAUCUUUGAACGCACAUUGCGCCCACUGGUAUUCCGGUGGGCAUGCCUGUUCGAGCGUCAUUAUCCUCCCUCAAACCCCGGGUUUGGUGUUGGACCCAAGUUGUGUGAACAACUGGUCUUAAAGACAAUGACGGCGUCCGUGGGACCCUCGGUGCAACGAGCUUUUAGGAGCACGCAUCGAGUUGCAAGGACCUUCCGGGCCGGUCUCCUUUACUAUUUUGCAAGGUUGACCUCGGAUCAGGUAGGAAUACCCGCUGAACUUAAGCAUAUCAAUAAGCGGAGGA
rnacentral:misc_RNA from 1 species